UACGUAGGUGGCAAGCGUUGUUCGGAAUUAUUGGGCGUAAAGAGCGCGUAGGCGGUCCGAUAAGUCGGCUGUGAAAGUCAGGGGCUCAACCCUUGAAAGCCGGCCGAUACUGUCGGACUAGAGUCCGGAAGAGGCAAGUGGAAUUCCCGGUGUAGCGGUGAAAUGCGCAGAUAUCGGGAGGAACACCAAUGGCGAAGGCAGCUUGCCGGGACGGUACUGACGCUGAGGCGCGAAAGCGUGGGGAGCAAACAGG
rnacentral:rRNA from 1 species